UGGGGAAUUUUGGACAAUGGGCGAAAGCCUGAUCCAGCAAUGCCGCGUGUGUGAAGAAGGCCUUCGGGUUGUAAAGCACUUUUGUCCGGAAAGAAAUGGCUCUGGUUAAUACCUGGGGUCGAUGACGGUACCGGAAGAAUAAGGACCGGCUAACUACAUGCCAGCAGCCGCGGUAAUACGUAGGGUCCAAGCGUUAAUCGGAAUUACUGGGCGUAAAGCGUGCGCAGGCGGUUGUGCAAGACCGAUGUGAAAUCCCCGAGCUUAACUUGGGAAUUGCAUUGGUGACUGCACGGCUAGAGUGUGUCAGAGGGGGGUUAGAAUUCCACGUGUAGCAGUGAAAUGCGUAGAGAUGUGGAGGAAUACCGAUGGCGAAGGCAGCCCCCUGGGAUAACACUGACGCUCAUGCACGAAAGCGUGGGGAGCAAACAGGAUUAGAUACCCUGGUAGUCCACGCCCUAAACGAUGUCAACUAGUUGUUGGGGGAUUCAUUUCCUUAGUAACGUAGCUAACGCGU
rnacentral:rRNA from 1 species